rnacentral:rRNA from 1 species
GACAGAGGGUGCAAACGUUGCUCGGAAUUACUGGGCGUAAAGCGUGCGCAGGCGGUUCUAUAAGACAGAUGUGAAAUCCCCGGGCUCAACCUGGGAACUGCAUUUGUGACUGUAGAGCUGGAGUACGGCAGAGGGGGAUGGAAUUCCGCGUGUAGCAGUGAAAUGCGUAGAUAUGCGGAGGAACACCGAUGGCGAAGGCAAUCCCCUGGGCCUGUACUGACGCUCAUGCACGAAAGCGUGGGGAGCAAACAGG